UGGAUUUGGGUAGUGAGGAGUAGGAAAAGCCCAAUAGCCAAGGCCCAUUAGUUAGCCUUCACUGCACCGUCUCCUUGUCACGAAAGUCACGACGAAACUCAGUUUUUGAUCUUCUUCUUCAUUCAUCCUCAGGCGACUCCAUCGAAAUUCGAAUCUGCUACGUCGCCCUCUUUCUCAGUCGCCACCGUCGCCAAAAUCCGCCGGUGAGAAUCGCGUAAGAAGCAUCCAUGGUAACGGAUCAACAUUCAACAUCACGAGAUAAGAAGAGAUGCUUUCCUCCAAUCAAAUCUUACGGAUAAGUUUUGAGAUGAAGAAUGAACUUUUUUUGAAGAGAGAAUGUUGGAAUGGAUCAUCAUCGGCGAUCUUCUCGAGAAACAGAGGCCAGAGGCUGCAAAGUCACGUGAACCAAAGUAACCUCUGUGAUGAAAAAGAUCCAAGACUACCAUAACCUGGAUUAUUCAUUGGCUGACAAGAAGAUGAUGUACGAGAUCCAGACCAAGAAACUUCAACACUUUGAUCAGAUCCAAUCACAAUGGUGUACUAAUAAGGCUUGCGUGAGGUUCACAACAAGGCUUAUGUUAUGCUGAAUGCUGCAAACGAGAGAUUGGAAUCAUCCAAAAAAAGUUCAUGUUUCUUUCUUUGUCAUAUACACUCUCUAGCAAGACACAGCCUUUAUGGUUUCACACACCCUAACUUGUUACAACAUUCUUCUUCAGCUUCUCUAACUAGUAACAUGUUGUAGAUUAUCGAUACGAAUCUUUUGUUAAAUAAAGGAAAUUAUCAAACAUUUGAUUACACAUAA